UAAGACGUAGGAUGCAAGCGUUGUCCGGAUUUAUUGGGCGUAAAGAGUUCGUAGGCGGUUUACUAAGUCUGAUGUUAAAGACCGGGGCCCAACCCUGGGACUGCAUUGGAUACUGGUAGGCUUGAGUGUGGUAGAGGCAAGUGGAAUUCCCAGUGUAGCGGUGAAAUGCGUAGAUAUUGGGAAGAACACCAGUGGCGUAGGCGACUUGCUGGGCCAUAACUGACGCUGAGGAACGAAAGCCAGGGGAGCGAAUGGG
rnacentral:rRNA from 1 species